rnacentral:sRNA from 1 species
CGGACAGGGGGGUUCCUGCCUUCCCGGCAGGGCCUGUCCAGAGGUUGCGCGAAGGCGUGGCCAGUGGUUGUCGCUCGGGGGUGAUCGCCG